rnacentral:lncRNA from 1 species
CAAGAAAGGUAAGACAUUUUAUUUUACAUACAAAAAGGGUGCAAACUGAGUCCUUUCCUCCCCAGACUGGAGAAGAGGUAUUCGUAAAGAUCACAUUUAUGUUUUCCAUGGUGCCCUAGGAAACGGGCUACUCUGAGACAAUUAGCAAGGCCCAUCUCCAUUUUCUACAAAGAAGGCUACUUCCUCUGCAGAGGAGUUUUUACUAAAUGGUGUAUAAAUCUCUCUCCUGGAGGAACCAUUUCAAAUACACUUGAAAUUGACAUUCAUGUUUAAAAAUACUACAAGUUUCAUUUUCACAGCUGAGCUUUGCAGACCAGUGCCAGGGUUUAUGAAACAAUUAGAUAUUACAUAUCUAAAAUAAAAGGUUAAAAAAGGCAUUUAACAAUAAUCAAACACAUCCACGCAUCAAUUAAAACUGAUUUCCACAGCUAAUUUAUACAUUAUCUCGGCUUUCAGAAUUGCAAUCAGUAUCCCAACAUGUUUAAAAGUACAACGGGCAAAGAUUAAAGAAAUAGGCAAAAUAAUAAACAUAAUAAAUUAGAGCACAUAAUACAUCCAAUGGGAAUUGAUGAAUCAACAUUAUUUUCCAUUGGGGGGCUUAUAAUAUUUUUGGUUUCAUCUCUAUCUUUUCUGUUUACUCUUCUGCUUAAUAAAUGGGGCUCAUUCCCAGAGCCAGCUUGCUGCCACAUUAGUUUGAGAAACUCACUUGUUACUUAUUUCCCGGAAUAUUUAGGAACACACAGUCCCAGCAGCCUGGGCUGUGAGUCUAUGGAAGUGAAAUGCACAGAUGAGUGAGCACGUGCGCAUACACACCCACACACAUACAAAUUCAACCAGACACACCCAUCUGUAAAUAAAUUCCCCCCUCCCCAAAGAAAUGGCUCACCUUCCUGAGACAUUCCUGAAAGACUGACAGGCCUCUUUAAAAAGCUUUCGGUUUAAGGGCUGGCCUGGGAUUUGGUCUGGAGCUCAGAAGAGGAACACUGACCAUGUCUCAUGUGCCCUGAGAGAGGGGACUUGUGAGGAAAGGGCAGUCAGGACAGCUGUCCUCUCAUGUGUGUUACCGGGAUGACUGCACGGCAUCCCCGUUUAUAACCAUGGAUAACCAUCUGCUCUGAAGGUGGCGAUGGCACUGGAGAGAUGACUGUGAGGAGUAAAAGAAGAAAAACGACAAAAUCAAUUCUGUCCACAGAACUGAGGUUCUUUUCUAACAUUAAGUUUGGUAAUCAAACUAGAAAUAUAUGGAGUAUAUGUUCACUUUUUCCUUUGUAAUACAAGCUGAGCUACAAAUACUGGAGUGGACUUCCUAGUUGCUUUUUGAGAAAAUAUGUCAACUACUACUGUCUAUAUCCAGGGAACCUACUUACUAUUUUGAAUACAAUGGAGAAAGCUACUCUUUUGCACUCAGUCACCUGCAAAAGGAAUUAGGAAAAACAUACUUUUAAGACGGCUUAAUUGAUCAAAGACUUCGAAGAUUCCUUAUUUGUGGCUAAAACACUGCUAAAAACUCUGCAAACCCUCAGAGGGGCCAUAGUUUCUUCUCUUAUUCAGAAACAAAAUCACUCCCCUCCCCCACCAAAAAACAACCAACCACCCAAGAAAACAAAACCAACCCAUCGUGGGGAAGACUGGGCUAUCAACCUCUCUAUGGGACUUUCCUGGGGCCCUGGAGUCAGCAGAAGCAAGAACCCCAGAGACAAGUACCUGUUGCUCAGGCCAAUCCAAAUGGGGUGCCUAGUCAUCCUGGCUCACCAAGAGUUUUUAGAAUUCAUCUGCCCACCUCAGGGCAAUGGUAGGGAUGGUGGCAGUGGCCUGGCAACAGCAAUGUCGCCUGUAUGGCACCGUGAGCUCCUGAUCUGAUAAAUUCUAGCGCUAACAUGGCCCUGACACUAGAGACAACAUUGUCAGGGUGAUUCACUGGAAUGAAAACUGGUUUAACUAUGAAGAUGGAAGAGGUGACUGGGACAUGGGAGAUGUAUGAGGAAAAAGAUGAAGUUCCUUAGAGGAGAUUCUUUCUAGGCUGCCAUGGAAGUACUUAUUUUUGAAAAAAUGCAGUGAACUGAGUUGAAAGGUACUGGACAACUCUUCUGGCUAAUGGCAGGGGCUGUUACCAUGAACUUGGAGUUCACUGAGAAUGAACAGGCCAGCACUUCUACUGGAAACCUCAGGAUCCUGCUUUCUUCCAUUGCCCUGCAUUCUGAAGUAAAAUGGGGCUCUAACUGAAGGCCAACCUAGCCACCUGGCUUUGUACCUUCCUAGACCUUGUUUCCUCCUAGACAGACCCCAAGUGGCAGGAGGAUGUUAAUUAAGACAGUCCUGAAAGCAUGCUGCUGCUGGCACACCAGGGCCAUCCCUGUGGAGCAGCCUGGAGUGAGAUCACUGGGAAACGUCAAGGGGUGCAUAGCAAGUGAUUGACCUGUACCUGCUUAGACUGCACAGUCACACACUGGUCAUAAAGGACGGACCCUUUAUGUCAUGGUGGAUUCCUGGCCUGCUUGCCUCAAUCUGCUCAGGAAGCAAUGCCUGAGGACUGCAGGGCUUGGGAGAACUCCUAAUAUUGUCACAGCAUAAUGCUAACUCAGAAACGAUGGCAUCAAUCCCAAAGGAAAAGACCCCUGGGCAUCAUGGCUGUGAAGUGGAGGAAGCUCAAAACCUAUAGAGCAAGUGGGUGGGGGUGGGCGGUGGGUGGAGGGGAAUGCCCAAUCCCAAGGGCUUGGUUGAGGAAUAGUUAAGCAACUGUAGCAACGGGGCUGAGGGAGCCCCUAUGGGAUCUGCUGACUGGGAGGGAGCCCUGAUGGGAUCUGCUGACUGAGAUGCAACUGAUGGCCAAAUUAUUCAUUUUAUUUAUUUUUUUGGUCUUUUUUUUUUUUUUUUUUUGCCUUUUCUAGGGCCGCUUCCCGCGGCAUAUGGAGGUUCCCAGGCGAGUGGUUAAAUAGGAGCUGUAGUCGCCGGCCUACACCAGAGCCACAGCAAUGCGGGAUCCGAGCCACAUCUGCGACCUACACCACAGCUCACGGCAACGCCGGAUCCUUAACCUACUGAGCGAGGCCAGGGAUUGAACCCACAACCUCAUGGUUCCUAGUAGGAUUCGUUAACCACUGCGCCACAACGAGAAUCCUUUUUUUAAUUUUAAGGAAGAUCACAACAGGAUCUCUAAAAGGUGUGGGACCACCUUGGAGUGCCCAUGGCCAUGGAAGGAUCACCAUUACCAUGCAUGCCAGAAGGACUUGGGCUCUUCACCUUUAUUAUGAGAAAUCAAACAUCUAAUAAGAGUUUUGGUGGGGGGAACAGCGAGUGAGAAUAGUGCAUUAGAAAGGAAACCGCCCCCCCACAACUGCUCAGGUUCAAUCCCUCAAGAGCUAGCCUCUUAAAAAAAAUUCAAGAUGCCCCAAAAGGUCACAAAGCGAGCUAUAAGAGGGCUUGCCCUGCAGCCAAGCUGGUAACUGCCUUUGCUUUUUUGAGGAAGUGGGAGCAGGCAGGCGCUUAGUGGGAUACGCAGUGCCAGGGAUGCUCCAGGCGUCAUCACCAGUUCCCUUUGUCCUUCCUUGAGAGGCACGACAUUUUCUAUACAGGGAUGUGGAAGUUAAGAUUCUAUAUAAGAAGUCAGAGUUACCCAAAUGCCAAAUGAAAAACUAUAUAAGUUUUCAGUGAUAGUGCCUUAAUAGCUAAUGACAAGGGGGCAAACCCCAAUAUUUUAAAUCCUUGUGAGGAAGGGAUGUGACACUGCGUCUCCCAGCCAUUCCAUUUUGCUUAUAGGAAAUUUUCUUCUAAAUAAAUGAAAGAUUACAAUCCUUGCAUGAGCGAGGCAGGUUUGGAGUGAUACUGCCUAGCCAAGGCCCAAUGGAGCACAGUUGAAGCACAGUAGCUCUGAUCCACACUACUGCUGCUAUUUCUGCUCCACAUAAGAUACAUCAAGGGACUUGGUAGGCAACAACAACUGCCAGAAAGUAUGCCCACAUCCUCCAGUCCAAAAGACAGCCCUACACCUUGAGCCAGAAGCAGUGAUUUCUGCGUUCCCCAAACCCCCAGACUAAGUCACCAGCCAUUGUCCUCCAUGGCUAGCUCUCUCUACUCCCAGAUCCAAGACUUCAUUCCCUGAUGUAAUUAAUCCUUUCUCCACUAUCACAUCUGGAAUAAAAGGUCACUGUGUGGAUAAGCCACUCAACUCAAAUGCAAGUCAAGCAUGAGAAGACUAACUCCAUACAUCAGUGACUUUUCAAGCAGUGGACGAGGAACCAAGACUCUUCAUGGCAGCAUGUCGUGUGACCACACCGUGGGAGGCAGAGAGUGCACUAGGAGAACAAGCUCUGGUUGUGUGGCCGUCUUAUCUGGCAGGAGCCUAUGUUCAAGUGAGAAGGCAAUUUCAGACCUUUCAUUUCAGCCUCGUUUCCCCUGGAAUUUUCCAGCAUAAACCAAUCUUACCCUCCUGUUUACUACAGCCCCAUGUGCUGAGUCCUAAGCCUGCUGCUAGGGACCUGCUGGGAGGAAAUCUGCAGGUGCUUGGUUUCUGAUGAGACAGACCAGCCCAAAUGCGGUAACUCAGCUAUUGGGGCAAAAAGUACACACCAAUUUUAUUUCCCGGCCCUGUGAUGAGCCAAAUCCUGAGGUUCCUCUGGCAGCUGGAAGGCAGGAUCACUUUCCUUCUUGUCCACUAGUGGCAAUAUGGUGGUACUGCUUCAAUUUUGUCCCCCAAGUCAUUAAGGAAGUCACAUGGCUAUCUAGUUGGAAAUCCCUGGCAGUGGAUGAAAGAGACAUUUCAGAUUUUUGAGUCAAGCAUCUCCGUCUCUGGGAUGAACUGUCUCCUGGUCACAGUCUGGCUUGGCUGGCUCAUCCCACGUGCUGGAGAGCUGGACUGUCCAAACUGCAGGUUGAUGAGGUCAAGAGGCUCUGGUAGGGACAUUCUACAACAGCUGAGAAGAUGAAUGAAAAUUCAAGUAUGUUUCCUUGCCAACCCGAGUGUUCACUCAGAAUGACAGAGAGUUUGGCUUCUCUUCUGGGUGCUGCGGACCCAACUCUUUCCAUUGAGAAUGUCCUCUGGACCCAUAUUCUUUCUGAAUGGCUUGGCUGGCCCCAUCCCCCUCAAAACAGAAAAAAAAGUAAAACUCCGAAGAUAACCAGACACAAUAUGCAUCUGCCAUGUUUUUUGUU